rnacentral:rRNA from 1 species
GACGAACGCUGGCGGCGUGCCUAAUACAUGCAAGUCGAACGCAGUGGGGACGGGUGAGUAACACGUGGCUAACCUCCCAUCAGAGGGGAUAACACUUGGAAACAGGUGCUAAACCGAUACUGUUUGAUCUACCCGCGGUGCAUGAGCUAGUGGGGGAGGUAACGGCUCACCAAGUCCACGAUGCAUAGCCGGCCGGAGGGGGUGAUCAGCCACACUGAGACUGAGACACGGCACAGACUCCUACGGGAGGCAGCAGUAGGGAAUCUUCGGCAAUGGACGAAAGUCUGACCGAGCAACGCCGCGUGAGUGAAGAAGGUUUUCGGAUCGUAAAACGCUGUUGGUAGAGAAGCGGUAUCUAACAAGAAAGCCACGGCUAACUACGUGCCAGCAGCCGCGGUAAUAC